AACGAACGCUGGCGGCAUGCCUAACACAUGCAAGUCGAACGCUGCCUCCGGGUCCUUUGGCGCAGGGGUUGGUUAGCGAACGGAUCAGUACUUUAUGUUCGAACUACCCUCCCGACAGGGGUACUCCUGGGAGACUGGGUCUACUGCCCGAUAAGUUAUGCCACUUCAUUGUGCUGUGUGUAAAGUGAUUUGUUGGUUUUGGAUGGGCCCACGUUGGAUCAGCUUGUUGGUAGGGUAAUAGCAUAGCAAGGCGACGAAGGGUAGCUGGCCCGAGAGGAGGACCGGCCAGGCUGGGAAUGAGACACGGACCAGACUCCUACGGGAGGGAGCAGUGGGGAAUAUUGGACGAUGGGCGAAAGUCUGACGAAGCAAUGCCGGGGGAGAGAGGAAGGGGUUAGGGUUGCAAAGCUAGUAUGCAAGGGAUGAUAAUGACAGUACCGGGAGAAGAAGCUCCGGCUAACUACGUG
rnacentral:rRNA from 1 species